GUUCUAUCUCCAAUAGAUAAUUGUCAAUUCCAAAGUCGUACAUUUUUACGUUUUUUUAACUGAAGAAUUUUUACACUUUGUGCAUAGUGAGGUUUGGUACAAAAGGAACAAUCGCUUUGCAUUCGUUUGCUGGGCUACUGCUUCUCAUCCGUUUGAAACGAUUGUAUAUACUUUAUCUUCAACGGUCUCAUUGGAAAAUUCAAGUAUCCGGUAAAUUCUGUCUCAAUUCUCUUGACUUGACUUCCAUGUAUAGAUGUGGGGCUCACCCUCCUUCAUGAUACUAGAACAAAAAUGAAUUUUUUUUUCCUUUUAGAUCGUGCAAGCUAGACAUGGAUAUUAUUUUAUUUCUUAGCUUUCCAACCUAUGACUGUGUCGAAUUAGUAACACCCAGGUUGCAAUAGAGAUUUUAUUGUUGUACCAAGACCUGCUCUCUUUAUUUCUAUGCUGAUAUUAUCUCUCUUCCUCGGAACAGAUUCUUUAUAUUUUAGCACGGAUGCAAGUAUUGCCAUGGUUCUGCCAAAUAAUUCUAAUGAACUAACAGGUUACCAGCAGCAAUCUCAGGAAGCUCAUUUCUAGGCGCAGUGUCACUUCAUGCUGAAUACGCAUGUCAGAUUUAUCGAAGGAAAAAACAAUCCAAGAGUGAGACAAGAGGCAGACAUAUUUCAAUGAGCAUCUUUAUACGACAUAGGAAAAGGAUUAGGAGAUCCAAAGUAAAUUCUUGCCAUGAUCAUCCACCAAAGACAUUGUUGGUAUUUGUGGAUCCGGAUUGGGCACACAUGAUGGGUCGACCCAUCCUGGUCCAACAAACUAGAAAGAUAAAAAAAAAGGAAUUACGAAUUUGAAUGGACGAGGGU
rnacentral:lncRNA from 1 species